ACCAGUGUGAAAAUCAGCAGCAAGUUUACUCCUCUCUCCUCCACGGAGACAUUUCUGUCUAUGAAAGAAUCAGACGCUCUGAAAACUCUCCAGAUGGUCAACAAGAAGACGAUUAAGCUGUCAUAUCCCUGACUUAGCUUGAAAAUGUCGACAAGAGUACGAGGUCAUCAACAGAGCAACAGAAGCUCAGAGGAAACUCUGCUCUCAUGGUUUGUUAGCAGAGCUGAAAAAAUUCACCUUCAUCAGGUUCAUCUGCAGAAUCUACUGCAUCUCUGCAGAAAGGUGUUCAUUUAAACUGUUGUUGAAGU